rnacentral:rRNA from 1 species
CUUCAAAUCCUUUAACGAGGAUCAAUUGGAGGGCAAGUCUGGUGCCAGCAGCCGCGGUAAUUCCAGCUCCAAUAGCGUAUAUUAAAGUUGCUGCGGUUAAAAAGCUCGUAGUUGGAUCUCAGUCUCGAUCGGACGGUCCAUUUCACGAUGGUACUGUCCGAAUCGGACAUUCCGCCGCCUUUCCUAACAUGCUCUUCAUUGAGUGUGGUGGGAGAGUGGUACGUUUACUUUGAAAAAAUUAGAGUGCUCAAAGCAGGCAAGUGCCUGAAUAGUCGUGCAUGGAAUGAUGGAAUAGGGCCUCGGUUCUAUUUUGUUGGUUUCCGGAACUCGAGGUAAUGAUUAAGAGGGACGGACGGGGGCAUUCGUAUUGCGACGUUAGAGGUGAAAUUCUUAGAUCGUCGCAAGACGAACUACUGCGAAAGCAUUUGCCAAGAAUGUUUUCAUUAAUCAAGAACGAAAGUCAGAGGUUCGAAGGCGAUCAGAUACCGCCCUAGUUCUGACCAUAAACGAUGCCAACUGGCGAUCCGUCGGUGUUAAUUCCAAUGACCCGGCGGGCAGCUUCCGGGAAACCAAAGUGUUUGAGUUCCGGGGGAAGUAUGGUUGCAAAGCUGGAACUUAAAGGAAUUGACGGAAGGGCACCACCAGGAGUGGAGCCUGUGGCUUAAUUUGACUCAACACGGGAAAUCUCACCAGGCCCGGACACCAGAAGGAUUGACAGAUUGAUAGCUCUUUCUUGAUUUGGUGGGU